GUGGGUGAAUCACUAUGGGGUGGUCCUCUUAAAAUCAAAAUAAAAAUCAGUUGCGGGUUUACAGAGAGUAAUUGAUAAUCAGGUGAGGGUUUACAGAGAGGUAAUUGAUAAUCAGGUGAGGGUUUACAGAGAGGAAUUGAUAAUCAGGUGAGCUGAACUAAGGGUUUACAGAGAGUAAUUGAUAAUCAGGUAGUGAACUAAGGGUUUACAGAAGGUAAUGAUAAUCAGGUGAGUUGAACUAAGGGUUUACAGAGAGGUAAUUGAUAAUCAGGUGAGCUGAACUAAGGGUUUACAGAGAGGUAUUGAUAAUCAGGUGAGCUGAACUAAGGGUUUACAGAGAGGUAAUUGAUAAUCAGGUGAGUUGAACUAAGGGUUUACAGAGAGGUAUUGAUAAUCAGGUAACUGACUAAGGGUUUACAGAGAGGUAAUGAUAU
ensembl:lncRNA